UACGUAGGGGGCGAGCGUUGUCCGGAAUCACUGGGCGUAAAGGGCGUGUAGGCGGGUUAGCAAGUUGCGGGUAAAAAACCAGGGCUCAACCCUGGGGGUGCCUGCGAAACUGCUGACCUUGAGGGCGGGAGAGGAGAGUGGAAUUCCCGGAGUAGCGGUGAAAUGCGUAGAUACCGGGAGGAACACCAGUGGCGAAGGCGGCUCUCUGGACCGCACCUGACGCUGAGGCGCGAAAGCUAGGGGAGCGAACGGG
rnacentral:rRNA from 1 species